CGGCGACGCGCCUCUUUUGGCUCAAAUACGGGACGUCCCGGCCAGAGCAGUGGAUUAAAACAGGUCCCGGCUAAUGCUGGACGGUCGGCCAUCCUAUUGAUUAGCAAAGGCUUCAGAGAAGUUUUAGAGCACCAAAAUCUUACAUUGUAGCAGAGCUCUGGUUGUAAUUUUUUCUACAUUCAUAUCUUCCUCCUUAAGCGUGACCCUUCUGGCGGCUUUGAAUAAUACAUAGGAUGUGUCGACUAG